AAGUAAGUAUCAUAAAAAUCUUUUAAAUAACAAGUAUAAUUUUUUCUGUUUUCCAGAUUUUACAUUAACAAGGUACACACAGAUGAGCCUUCUCCAAUGGCAUCAUAAAUCUUUUGA
rnacentral:lncRNA from 1 species